GAUUAAGAACGUAGCGAAAUGCGAUAAGUAGUGUGAAUUGCAGAAUUCAGUGAAUCAUCGAAUCUUUGAACGCACAUUGCGCCCCUCGGUAUUCCGUGGGGCAUGCCUGUUCGAGCGUCAUUUAACCCCUCAAGCCUAGCUUGGUAUUGGGUGCUUGUCCCGCCUCUCGCGCGGCGACUCACCUCAAAGUCAUUGGCAGCCCGCAUCUCGCCGGCCGUGAGCGCAGCACAGACGCGCUCUUGGCAACGACGGAUCGGCUCUCCAAAAGCUUAUUUCAACCACUGACCUCGGAUCAGGUAGGGAUACCCGCUGAACUUAAGCAUAUCAAUAAGCGGAGGA
rnacentral:misc_RNA from 1 species